GCGCUACAGCAUUCGGCUAGUUCACGAGAGUGAUGUUAUGAACACAAGAAGAGUUCUCUCUGUAAUAAAUAAAUUUAUUCCUCCCAACACCGCGGGAAGUAAAAUUAAAACUGUCUGUUCCUACCAACCACCCCACACAAAAGAGUUCUCUCCUUCCCGCGUACUUUUAAAUUAUUUAGAUAAUUAUAUUUCCUCCCAUCCUCUCAGACUCCUCCCCUUGCGAAAAUAAUAAUAUCACCACCAGGGCCGCCGCUCCUCCUUUAUUAAGAGGGGAUAGGUUCCUCCGCUCCUCCCCGCGGUGCUCCCGACAUCACUUCUUAUCAUAAAAUAUAGGGGAGGGGAUCGAAAUCUUAUUCUUUAUUCUAGGAAGAGCCAUCUCUGGAGGGAACAGUAUCUAGUAAAUGAGCAACUUACCUACCCCACCCACUAAUGAAGGCAGGCCUAAUAAAAGAUCCAUAAUAACGCAUGACGUGGUGUGUGACCUUUAUAUUAUUGACUCUUCUCCUUUAAAGUCCCGGGUCUGAUGAGUUCAGGUCGUAUCGUUUAAAUUAUCUAUGAUCUUAUCAGGAAUUCUCAGACUCGAGCAGAAUAAAUAAAAUUGCUAUUUUCAUUUAUUAUUAUCAGCCUCUUGUAGGUAAGUGGCCUGCCAGGCUCCGCGCGGGAGCGACCGUAGUUGGAGUUAGUUCUACGGCGCGUCGAAGCAGUAACAAGCCGCCCG
rnacentral:rRNA from 1 species